rnacentral:tRNA from 1 species
CAGGAAGUAGUUUAAUGUGAAAAUGCCAGCUUUGGGAGUUGGAGAUGGAGGUUUGAUUCCUCCCUUUCUGA